rnacentral:rRNA from 1 species
AUGCGUGCCAUUAGCUAGUUGGUAGUGUAACGGACUACCAAGGCUAUGAUGGCUAGGGGUUCUGAGAGGAUGAUCCCCCACCACUGGCGACUGAGAUACGGGCCGACGACUCCUACCGGGAGGGCGAGCAGUAAGGGGAAGUAAUUGGGUCGAAUAGGCGGAAAAGUACUGACCCACGCACUGCCGCCGUGCAGGAAGGAAAGGCCGUUCCUGGGUUGGUAAACUAGCUUUUAUUCUGGGAAGGAAAACAACCCUAUGCGUAGGGAACGUGCGGUAACCAGAUGAAUAAGCACCGGCGUAACUCCGUGCCACGCAGCCGCGGUAAUACGGAGGGUGCAAGCGUUGUCCGGAAUGAUUGGGCGUAAAGCGUGUCGUGGGAGG